GAAGGCUCGAAAAAGUACAUUAAAAUCAAAAUUUGGAGAAGGAAAAAAACCAACAGAAGAAUUCCAUUUUCCUUCCUCAUUCAUCUGAGAGCUCUCUUUGGGCUUUCCGAAAAGGUAUCACAUGUCAAGUUUGGCCUCACGGUCUUAAAGUUAUAGAGUCAUACAUUUUUAACAAAACAAAAAGAGGGAUGACACACGAGGACUUUCCUUGAGGUCACCCAUCCUAGUACUACUCUCACCCAAGCACGCUUAACUGUAGAGUUCUGAUGGGAUAUGGUGCAUUAGUGCUGGUAUGAUCGCAUCUGUAACUACAUGCAAUGCAAUUGUAUCUAUUCUUUUUUGAAGACUUUAUGAUCGAUUUGCCGUGGGUCCCACCAGCUAUGUAGGAAUACCCUAUCUUGUUUAUAAGAGCUUUGAUACAUACAAAAUAUACGAAAACAAUGUCCGUACAUAUAAUUUUUGCCCCGUAAUAUAGCAAAGAUUACGAAAAGGCCCGAAAAAGUACAUUAAGGUCAAAAUUUGGAGUAGAAAAAAAAACUAUAGAAGAAUUCCAUUUUCCUUCCUAAUUCAUCGGAGAGCUCUCUUUGGGCUUUCCGAAAAGGUAUCACAUGCCAAGUUUGGCCUCACGGUAUAAAAGUUCUAGAGUCAUACAUUUUUGACAAAAAAAAAGAGAAAAACCGAAAAAAAGAGGGAUGCAACACGAGGACUUUCCUGGAGGUCACCCAUCCUAGUACUACUCUCGCCCAAGCACGCUUAACUACAGAGUUCUGAUGGGAUCUGGUGCAUUAGUGCUGGUAUGAUCGCAUCCGUUACUACAUGCAAUGCAAUUGUAUCUAUUUUUUUUUGAAGACUUUAUGAUCCAUUUGCCGUGGGUCCCACCAGCUGUGUAGGAAUACCCUAUCUUGUUUAUAAGAU
rnacentral:sRNA from 1 species